AAGCAUGAUGGAUUCUCAGUGACCCUUUUCUCAUGGUGCGCUGCAUUUCCACUACAUGCAAGAUUACAACCUAAGGAGUUCUCAGGGCCACCAGCUUUUUGAAGUACAUGCUGAGUGGUAGUAUAUUACUCCUACAUUC